rnacentral:rRNA from 1 species
UACGUAGGGUGCGAGCGUUAAUCGGAAUUACUGGGCGUAAAGCGUGCGCAGGCGGUUUUGUAAGCCAGAUGUGAAAGCCCCGGGCUUAACCUGGGAAUGGCAUUUGGGACUGCAAGGCUGGAGUGUGGCAGAGGAGACUGGAAUUCCUGGUGUAGCAGUGAAAUGCGUAGAUAUCAGGAGGAAUACCGAUGGCGAAGGCAGGUCUCUGGGCUGACACUGACGCUCAUGCA